rnacentral:antisense_RNA from 2 species
UUUCAGGGUGCCGAGCCAGAGCGGCUGGUCGGCGCGCCGGUCCUUGCCGUAGGUGGCCAGCAGCGCCUGUGCCUC